GAGCGGUAACAGGUGUAGCAAUACAUGCUGACGAGCGGCGAACGGGUGAGUAACGCUUCGGAAUCUGCCCAAUGGUGGGGAAUAACCAGCCGAAAGGUUGGCUAAUACCGCAUGAGCCCUACGGGGGAAAGCGGGGGAUCGUAAGACCUCGCGCCGAUGGAUGAGCCGAAGCCGGAUUAGCUAGUUGGUAGGGUAACGGCCUACCAAGGCGACGAUCCGUAGCUGGUCUGAGAGGACGACCAGCCACACUGGGACUGAGACACGGCCCAGACUCCUACGGGAGGCAGCAGUGGGGAAUAUUGGACAAUGGGGGAAACCCUGAUCCAGCGACGCCGCGUGUGUGAAGAAGGCCUGCGGGUUGUAAAGCACUUUUAGUGGGGAUGAAAAGCUCAGGGAUAACACCCCUGGGGUCUUGACCUAACCCACAGAAAAAGCACCGGCUAACUCUGUG
rnacentral:rRNA from 1 species